rnacentral:rRNA from 1 species
UGGGGAAUAUUGCGCAAUGGGCGAAAGCCUGACGCAGCUACGCCGCGUGGGUGAUGAAGGCCUUCGGGUUGUAAAGCUCUGUCGAGGGGGACGAAGUUCUGACGGUACCCCUCAAGAAAGCACCGGCUAACUCCGUGCCAGCAGCCGCGGUAAUACGGAGGGUGCAAGCGUUGCUCGGAAUCAUUGGGCGUAAAGCGUACGCAGGCUGUCUGUCAAGUCGGGUGUGAAAGCCCGGGGCUCAACCCCGGAACGGCGCCCGAAACUGUCAGGCUUGAAUGCGGGAGAGGGAAGCGGAAUUCCUGGUGUAGAGGUGAAAUUCGUAGAUAUCAGGAGGAACACCGGUGGCGAAAGCGGCUUCCUGGCCCGACAUUGACGCUCAUGUACGAAAGCGUGGGGAGCAAACAG